GCGUUGCUCGGAAUCACUGGGCGUAAAGGGUGCGUAGGCGGUUGUUUUAAGUCUGUCGUGAAAUCCCCGGGCUCAACCUGGGAAUGGCGAUGGAUACUGGACAGCUAGAGUGUGUCAGAGGAUGGUGGAAUUCCUGGUGUAGCGGUGAAAUGCGCAGAUAUCAGGAGGAACACCGGUGGGCGAAGGCGGGUCUCUGGGCCGAUACUGACGCUGGAGGCAACGAAAAGCGUGGGGGAGCAAACAGG
rnacentral:rRNA from 1 species